rnacentral:ncRNA from 18 species
AGGUGAACCUGCGGAAGGAUCAUU